UACGUAGGUGGCAAGCGUUUGUCCGGAUUUACUGGGCGUAAAGAGCGCGCAGGCGGUCGUUCAAGUCGCGUGUGAAAGCCCCCGGCUCAACUGGGGAGGGUCACGCGAUACUGAUCGACUCGAAGGCAGGAGAGGGUAGUGGAAUUCCCGGUGUAGUGGUGAAAUGCGUAGAGAUGUGGAGGAACACCGAUGGCGAAGGCCAGCCUCCUGGGCCAGCACUGACGCUCAUGCACGAAAGCGUGGGGAGCAAACAGG
rnacentral:rRNA from 1 species